rnacentral:rRNA from 1 species
AUUGAACGCUUGCGGCAUGCUUUACACAUGCAAGUCGAACGGUAACAGGCCGCACGGUGCUGACGAGUGGCGAACGGGUGAGUAAUGCAUCGGAACGUGCCCAGUCGUGGGGGCUAAAGAAGCGAAAGCUGAGCUAACACCGCAUAAGAUUUGUGGAAGAAAGCGGGGGACCGUAAGGCCUCGCGCGCUUGGAGCGGCCGAUGUCAGAUUAGGUAGUUGGUGGGGUAAAGGCUCACCAAGCCAACGAUCUGUAGCUGGUCUGAGAGGACGACCAGCCACACUGGGACUGAGACGCGGCCCAGACUCCUACGGGAGGCAGCAGUGGGGAAUUUUGGACAAUGGGCGCAAGCCUGAUCCAACAAUGCCGCGUGCAGGAAGAAGGCCUUCGGGUUGUAAACUGCUUUUGUACGGAACGAAACGGUCCUGGUUAAUACCUGGGGCUAAUGACGGUACCGUAAGAAUAAGCACCGGCUAACUACGUGCCAGCAGCCGCGGUAAGAC